CCCACUGCUAUCGAGAUGGGACUAAGGUAUGCUAGUCGAACGACCAGAAUUAUGUCUGGGAGUGGCACACUGCUCAGUAACACGUAGCUAACCUACCCUUAGGACGUGGAUACCCCCGAGAAAUUGGGGUUAAUCCGCGAUAGAUGUAAUGUCCUGGAAUGGUAUUACGUCUAAAGGUAUUUCAUACAUGUUUGAAAUAUGCCUAAGGAUGGGGCUGCGGCCGAUCAGGCUGUUGGUGAGGUAAUGGCUCACCAAACCUUUGACCGGUACGGGCCAUGAGAGUGGUAGCCCGGAGAUGGACACUGAGACAAGGGUCCAGGCCCUACGGGGCGCAGCAGGCGCGAAACCUCCUCAAUGCACUCACGUGCGAUGGGGCUAUCUCGAGUGCCACCUGAUGAAGGUGGCUUUUCCUUGGUCUUCAAAGCCUUGGGAAUAAGAGGGGGGCAAGACUGGUGUCAGCCGCCGCGGUAACACCAGCCCCUCGAGUGGUGGGGAUGAUUAUUUGGCCUAAAGCGUCCGUAGCCGGCCGGGUAAGUUUCCCGUUAAAUCCAGCGUCUCAAGCGUUGGACUGCGGGAAAUACUGCCUGGCUAGAGAGUGGGAGAGGUCAGCGGUAUUCUGGGGGUAGGGGCGAAAUCCUUUGAUCCCCGGAGGACCACCAGUGGCGAAGGCUGCUGACUAGAACACGUCUGACGGUCAGGGACGAAAGCUGGGGUAGCGAGCCGGAUUAGAUACCCGGGUAGUCCCAGCCGUAAACGAUGCAUGCUAGGUGUUGGGUUGGCCACGAGCCACCCCAGUGCCGCAGGGAAGCCGUUAAGCAUGCCGCCUGGGAAGUACGAUCGCAAGAUUGAAACUUAAAGGAAUUGGCGGGGGAGCACCACCAGGCGUGAAGCCUGCGGUUUAAUUGGAUUCAACGCCGGA
rnacentral:rRNA from 1 species